AUUGAACGCUGGCGGCAGGCCUAACACAUGCAAGUCGAACGGUAGCACAGAGAGCUUGCUCUCGGGUGACGAGUGGCGGACGGGUGAGUAAUGUCUGGGAAACUGCCCGAUGGAGGGGGAUAACUACUGGAAACGGUAGCUAAUACCGCAUAAUGUCGCAAGACCAAAGAGGGGGACCUUCGGGCCUCUUGCCAUCGGAUGUGCCCAGAUGGGAUUAGCUAGUUGGUGAGGUAAUGGCUCACCAAGGCGACGAUCCCUAGCUGGUCUGAGAGGAUGACCAGCCACACUGGAACUGAGACACGGUCCAGACUCCUACGGGAGGCAGCAGCGGGGAAUAUUGCACAAUGGGCGCAAGCCUGAUGCAGCCAUGCCGCGUGUGUGAAGAAGGCCUUCGGGUUGUAAAGCACUUUCAGCGGGGAGGAAGGCAAUACGGUUAAUAACCGUGUUGAUUGACGUUACCCGCAGAAGAAGCACCGGCUAACUCCGUG
rnacentral:rRNA from 1 species